rnacentral:rRNA from 1 species
GAUGAACGCUAGCGGCAGGCCUAAUACAUGCAAGUCGUACGGGAUAAGUUGUAGCAAUACGACUUUGAGAGUGGCGUACGGGUGCGUAACACGUAUGCAACCUACCUUUAACUGGGGGAUAGCCCGGAGAAAUUCGGAUUAAUACCCCAUAACAUAAUAACAGGGCAUCUUGUUAUUAUCAAAACUCCGGUGGUUAAAGAUGAGCCCGCGUAAGAUUAGCUUGUUGGUAGGGUAAUGGCCUACCAAGGCGACGAUCUUUAGCUGGUCUGAGAGGAUGAUCAGCCACACUGGGACUGAGACACGGCCCAGACUCCUACGGGAGGCAGCAGUGGGGAAUAUUGGACAAUGGGCGCAAGCCUGAUCCAGCAAUGCCGCGUGUGUGAAGAAGGCCUGCGGGUUGUAAAGCACUUUCAGUGGGGAAGAACAGAUUCGGGUCAAUACCCCGGAGCCCUGACGUUACCCACAGAAGAAGCACCGGCUAACUCCGUGCCAGCAGCCGCGGU